UUUCAUUCCACUUGCCAUUUACGCAUCUCUGGUUGUUGGGUUGAAAAUUUUGAAAACAAAAAUUCUCAAAUCUUUGAAUAACCCUAAUAGGCUAAUCCCCAAUCUUUCUAUUCUUUUCCCUAAUUACCAUCUCAAAGGAGAGUCAUCGACCACAAGGAAGAAGAACAAGUGAAGUUUGAAGAGUUUCUAUCGAUUGUCGGCGAAUUCGAUUCGAACCCCAUUUCUAGCCAACAACUCGUUUCCUUCGAUUAUUGGUUAGUAAUUGUUGCCUUUUUUAAUACAUGUAUCAAGAUUUGAAAUAACCUCCUUUUUUGGGUAUUAAAACGAUUUUUUUAGGCAAGGUGUUCAGAUAUUUUAAUUUUUUUUGCUAUGUGUAAUGUGUUUGAUUAAUGAUGAUUUUUUUUUUUUUUAUCUAUGUUAUGUUUAUGAGUUAUAUUAUUAUGCUAUAAUUUUAAUUUUUAUAACAUAUUAAAACGGUGUACUGGUGUGUAACAUAUUCUAAAAAAAUUAGAACAUAAUAAAGAUUAGAAACCACUUAGAACAUGGUUCUAAUCUUUAUUAAGUUUGAAGAGUCCAUCGAAUGUCCGAAUCAAAGACAAUGUGUAAAUGGUUCUUAUUGUUAUUAUGUUCAUUUAUAUUUUUAAUUUUUUUUUGAUAUAUUAUGUUUAUGGUUAUAAUUUUUCUCAUAGGCAUUUGAUUAGUUUGCUUUUAAAGCAUCUAAACAAACUUAAUAAUUCAUCUAAUUGUCCCGUUCACUUCGUCAGCAAGACGACAACAAACUAUGUAAGCACGAAGCAGGUAUUUCGCUUGACCUUGAUCAACUUGAAUUAUAUUUUACGUUGGAAUAUGAAUUUAUGAUGAUUCUUAGAUUUGAUGUUGAAUUUUUAACUAGUUAUAAUCUCCACUCUCUUAAAAGAGGAUGAGGGCUCAGUAUUCAUUUUUGCACCCUCUAUUUCACCCUUCUCUGGUUUCUUUACUAUUCACAAUUGGUUCUACCACUGUUCAUAACGUCUUCCUCUAAGUAAAUAGCUCAUAACUCAGGUCCCAAUUCAUUUCCUUCGUCUACCUCAUUCUGUACUUCCACAGAGAGAGAGUUGUAAACUACCGUUAUUUUGGUCAGAUAAAAAUGGGAAGGAGAGUACUUCAAAGGGUGCACUGGUGCCUAUACUGUAGUUCAAGCUGAAAAACUCUUUCGACGAAGCUCCUCGAGCGCAACCUAUGCCUUCGAUAAUCGUGGAGGAGAAGGGGCAAGAGAUAGAAGAGCUGGAUAAAUAAUUGUCUUCAUGAACUCGAAGGUGAAAUCAACGCUAAGGUAUUCCUUUUUGUGCCUUUUCACUUUUUCAUUGAAUUUUUUCUUAGAUUUUUAGGGGGUGUUCUUCAAUGGAAUUUUGCUAUGUUCUGAUUCUUUUGUUUGUAAAUAUGUGUUUUAUAUGAUACGGGGUAUGGGGGUACUAUAUUAGUGUGAUUUUAUCUUUGUAUACUCUCAAAAUUCUUUCCUUCCAUAAGCCUGAGUUCCAGGUGCUAUCGAGUUGGAAUUCCAGCAGUCAGGACCACUGUUCCUCAGUUGUGAUUUCUUGAGAUUUUGUUUGUCGGGUUGUGGCCUUGAAUAUUUGUUCAGCAAGGGCUUUUGAGUUACAUAAUUGACAUUGACGUGGCUUCUUUAUUUCAUUAUGCAACUAAAGGUGUUAUGUUGGUUUCUUUGAAACACGUCAAAGAUUGUGUUGUUCUUGGUAAAUUCAAAAGCAAGAAAACAACAGCAGCCUUUUAGCGUCUUGUAAAGAAAUGUAAAGAACAUUUUCAGAAGCUAAGAAUCAAGGACAUCGAUUUCAUCUCAACCCACAUCAAAACAGGGAACACCAAUGAACAUGGUGAAAUUCAUGAGAGAAGACGCGAAAAAUCAC